GACGAACGCUGGCGGCGUGCUUAACACAUGCAAGUCGAACGGAAAGGCCCAGCUUGCUGGGUGCUCGAGUGGCGAACGGGUGAGUAACACGUGGGUGAUCUGCCCCUAACUUCGGGAUAAGCUUGGGAAACUGGGUCUAAUACCGGAUAGGACAAUCGUUUAGUGUCGGUUGUGGAAAGUUUUUUCGGUUAGGGAUGAGCCCGCGGCCUAUCAGCUUGUUGGUGGGGUAAUGGCCUACCAAGGCGUCGACGGGUAGCCGGCCUGAGAGGGUGGACGGCCACAUUGGGACUGAGAUACGGCCCAGACUCCUACGGGAGGCAGCAGUGGGGAAUAUUGCACAAUGGGCGCAAGCCUGAUGCAGCGACGCCGCGUGGGGGAUGACGGCCUUCGGGUUGUAAACCUCUUUCGACAGGGACGAAGCUUUGGUGACGUUACCUGUAUAAGAAGCACCGGCUAACUACGUG
rnacentral:rRNA from 1 species